rnacentral:rRNA from 1 species
UGGCGGCGAUAGCGCGGUGGUCCCACCUGACCCCAUGCCGAACUCAGAAGUGAAACGCCGUAGCGCCGAUGGUAGUGUGGGG